AAAAAUGCAUCCAAGUACAAUUUUAUGAAGCUAACUAACAGGACUGGCAAACCCACCAUAACCAUGCCCCUGAGGAAAGUCAAAGUUUGGAGCAGAGUAUCAUGAUUCACCCUCCAGAGAUGUUUCUUCCACCGGCGCCAGCACACUCACCUCACUAGUACAGGUGACUCUUCUCGGGUGAGGGGCCUCCUGCUGCAGCUGAUACACUGUGAAGACAGAAAGCGAAUCAUUCCAGAUACAUACUGUUCAUUGUCAAUUCUUGAGUUUGAGAAAAUUCACCUACCAUAUUAGCUGGCUUUUUUUUUCCCCUAUAAGCGGCCAGGAAAGGGGCCAAAUAUUUUCAGCUCUGCAAGCCAAGCCACCUCUCUCCCAACUACGUAACUCUGCUUGUACAGUGGGGGAGUAGCCCCAGACAACAUUAUUCUCCCAAUAAAACUUUACUUCGGAAAACAGUCAACCCAGGAAACCCGCCUAUCAGCAGGCUCCAGUCACUCGUAACCCACAGGGUACAAAGCAAUAUUUAGACUGUACACAGGAUUAACACAGCACGUCUUUUUAAAAAUAAUUUUAUGCUAAGAUUUGUAACUUUGAAAGUUUUGUAAUCCCAGCUGACUCUUGCUCUUCCCUAGGGAAAGGGGAGGUUAUGAAAGCCCUAAGAAUAGAAAUACUUCGUAACAAAAACUUAACUGGAACCGCUGGCACUUUUCUGUUAUUAGGGUAUUAUUCUUGCUGUCAAGUCUAAGUGAACAAUAAAAGCUAAUGCUCUGAGAAAAAGACAGGCUAGUAACAUGGACCAGCACCACCUUUGCAAUCUUCAGUUCACCAAGAAAGCAGAAGGACCCAACAGCAAGAUAAAGAAGAAAAGAAAAAAAGUUUUCACCCUAGGAACCCGUGUUUUGUUUGCUUAUUUAUUUGAAACAAAAACCCUCACAAACUCCCACACAUCAGUUCAAUUUCCUGCUGCAACUGCAUUUCAUCAGGUUUAUAAACCCUACUUCUCUGAUGCCAUACUCCUUGACUUAAGAUGGUUCAUCUUAUGAUUUUUCAACUCUAUGAUGAUGGGAAAGCAACAUGCAUCCAGGAGAACCAUCCUUUGAGUUUUGAAUUCGGGUCUCUUCCUGGGCCAGCCACGUCCAGGGGGAUCGUCCCGGAAUGCUGGGCAGUGGCGGCCGCUCCCAGUCAGCCAGCGAUCGUGAAGGGCAAACAGCUGAUAAGCUUACAACCCAUUCUGGUUUUCACUUUCCAUACAGUACUCAAUAAAGUACAUGAGAUACUCAA